rnacentral:rRNA from 1 species
CCUACGGGUGGCAGCAGUGGGGAAUAUUGGGCAAUGGAGGAAACUCUGACCCAGCAAUGCCGCGUGAAUGAAGCAGGUCUUCGGAUUGUAAAGUUCUUUAGUCAGGGGAGAAGUCAAUGACGGUACCUGCAGAAUACGCUCCGGCUAACUACGUGCCAGCAGCCGCGGUAAUACGUAGGGAGCAAGCGUUGUUCGGAGUGACUGGGCGUAAAGGGUGCGUAGGCGUUUGUACAAGUUAGAAGUGAAAUACCCAGGGCUUAACUCGGGUGCUGCUUCUAAAACGGUAUGACUUGAGUGCAGUAGAGGUUAGUGGAAUGCCUAGUGUAGCGGUGGAAUGCGUAGAUAUUAGGAGGAACACCAGAGGCGAAGGCGGCUAACUGGACUGCAACUGACGCUGAGGCACGAAAGUGUGGGGAGCAAACAGGAUUAGAUACCCUAGUAGUC